CAAAGUAGAGCUUGGUUAGUUAAGCUUUCCGUUUACACCGGAAGGAAGUCGUGCGAUUCGAUGUAUUUUGA
rnacentral:tRNA from 1 species